UACGUAGGGUGCAAGCGUUAAUCGGAAUUACUGGGCGUAAAGCGUGCGCAGGCGGUUCGCUAAGACAGAUGUGAAAUCCCCGGGCUUAACCUGGGAAUGGCAUUUGGGACUGCAAGGCUGGAGUACGGCAGAGGAGACUGGAAUUCCUGGUGUAGCAGUGAAAUGCGUAGAGAUCAGGAGGAAUACCGAUGGCGAAGGCAGGUCUCUGGGCUGAUACUGACGCUCAUGCACGAAAGCGUGGGGAGCAAACAGG
rnacentral:rRNA from 1 species